CGGGGCCAUAGCUCAGCUGGGAGAGCGCUACGCUGGCAGCGUAGAGGUCAGGGGUUCGAGCCCCCUUGGCUCC
rnacentral:tRNA from 1 species